GGCGGACGGGUGAGUAAUGCCUAGGAAUCUGCCUGGUAGUGGGGGACAACGUUUCGAAAGGAACGCUAAUACCGCAUACGUCCUACGGGAGAAAGCAGGGGACCUUCGGGCCUUGCGCUAUCAGAUGAGCCUAGGUCGGAUUAGCUAGUUGGCGGGGUAAAGGCCCACCAAGGCGACGAUCCGUAGCUGGUCUGAGAGGAUGAUCAGCCACACUGGAACUGAGACACGGUCCAGACUCCUACGGGAGGCAGCAGGC
rnacentral:rRNA from 1 species